UACGGGGGGGGUAAGCGUUGUUCGGAAUUACUGGGCGUAAAGGGCUCGUAGGUGGCCAACUAAGUCAGACGUGAAAUCCCUCAGCUUAACUGGGGAACUGCGUCUGAUACUGGAUGGCUUGGAUCCGGGAGAGGGAUGCGGAAUUCCAGGAGUAGCGGUGAAAUGCGUAGAUAUCUGGAGGAACACCGGUGGCGAAGGCGGCAUCCUGGACCGGUAUUGACGCUGAGGCGCGAAAGCUAGGGGAGCAAACGGG
rnacentral:rRNA from 1 species